rnacentral:rRNA from 1 species
CUACGGGUUGCUGCAGUGGGGAAUAUUGCACAAUGGGCGCAAGCCUGAUGCAGCAACGCCGUGUGAGUGAUGAAGGCCUUCGGGUUGUAAAACUCUGUCCUAAGGGAAGAAACAAAUGACGGUACCUUAGGAGGAAGCCCCGGCUAACUACGUGCCAGCAGCCGCGGUAAUACGUAGGGGGCAAGCGUUAUCCGGAAUCACUGGGCGUAAAGGGUGCGUAGGCGGCCCAUCAAGUCAGAGGUGAAAGGCAUUGGCUCAACCAAUGUAAGCCUUUGAAACUGUUGGGCUUGAGUGCAGGAGAGGUAAGUGGAAGUCCUAGUGUAGAGGUGAAAUUCGUAGAUAUUAGGAGGAACACCAGUGGCGAAGGCGACUUACUGGACUGUAACUGACGCUGAGGCACGAAAGCGUGGGGAGCGAACAGGAUUAGAUACCCCUGUAGUC